rnacentral:rRNA from 1 species
AACGAACGCUGGCGGCAUGCCUAACACAUGCCAGUCGAACGAGACCUUCGGGCCUAGUGGCGCACGGGUGCGUAACGCGUGGGAACCUGCCCUUAGGUUCGGAAUAACUCCCCGAAAGGGGUGCUAAUACCGGAUAAUGUCUUCGGACCAAAGAUUUAUCGCCUUUGGAUGGGCCCGCGUUGGAUUAGCUAGUUGGUAGGGUAAAAGCCUACCAAGGCGACGAUCCAUAGCUGGUCUGAGAGGAUGAUCAGCCACACUGGGACUGAGACACGGCCCAGACUCCUACGGGAGGCAGCAGUGGGGAAUAUUGGACAAUGGGCGAAAGCCUGAUCCAGCAAUGCCGCGUGAGUGAUGAAGGCCUUAGGGUUGUAAAGCUCUUUUACCCGGGAUGAUAAUGACAGUACCGGGAGAAUAAGCUCCGGCUAACUCCGUG